rnacentral:lncRNA from 1 species
AUUUUGAAUAGACAAACUUAAACAAGUUACCCCUACACAGAUAGUUGUCUUCAACACCUAUAUAAUGCAUUAAAGCUUGUCUCCUCUGUUUUUCUUCCUAACCUGUCACCCCCAAGCCUGGCACAUUGCCUGACCCGGGGGUGGGUGCCAGUUCCUCUGCAGCCCACGUACACCCUGCGCAGCACAGAGGCCGACGCGUGGCCACCUCCACCCUCCCACAAGAGCAGUGAGGAUCUCCUGCAGCUCCUGUCCCAUUUUUUCCCAUGAUCCUGAAUCAGAGGCUCAGUUGGGAGUGACAAUGUGUUCGGGGCUGUUGGUGAAAGCCUCAGCCAUCUGUUACCCCUACUAAGAAGGGAAGACAAGAGAGACACAGGGAGACAGAGAGCAUUGAGCUUUGUGGCUUUUCCAAGCGUCCGGGAUCAUCAUUCAACUCAAGGGCAGCCAAGGAACAUUCCUGCACACUGGACCCUCCAUGUACAGGGGAAAGGCCUGAGAGGGGCGAGGGAUCCAGAGGUGCGCGGGGAGAGACGGGGAGACAGAGGGAGAAAGACGGAAAGUUACGGAGUGAUCCUUACAAAACGGGUAGGACCAUUUCAUAGGACUAUGAAAGAAAAGGCCAAGAAGGGACCUCCAGAAGCCAUCUGGACCACCUCACUGCCUCUGGACCACCUCUCUGCUUCUAGACAAGAUCCACCGCAUCGUAGCUGACAGGUAUUUGUCUGACCUGCUCCUAAAGACUCCCGUAGCUCACCCCAGC